CGAGCACGCGCGUGUGGCAUAUCAAUAAGCGGAGGAAAAGAAACUAACAAGGAUUCCCUUAGUAACGGCGAGUGAAGCGGGAAGAGCUCAAAUUUGAAAUCUUCAAGGUUUUACCUUGACGAAUUGUAGUUUAAAGAAGUGUUUUCUGUUGGAGUUUUGGUAAAAGUUCUUUGGAAUAGGACAUCAUAGAGGGUGAGAGUCCCGUAUUUGACCAUUAUUUCCAGCUUUGUGAUACACUUUCAAAGAGUCGGAUUGUUUGGGAAUGCAGUCCAAAAUGGGUGGUAAAUUUCAUCUAAAGCUAAAUAUUGGCGAGAGACCGAUAGCGAACAAGUACCGUGAGGGAAAGAUGAAAAGAACUUUGAAAAGAGAGUUAAACAGUACGUGAAAUUGUCAAAAGGGAAGCGUUUGACACCAGUGUUGUUUUCUCGAAAAUCAAUUCAUGAUGGCUUGAUGCUAGGUUGUUAUGACUUUAUCAGCAUACUGUCUAGUUUUUCUUGUCUUUGUGAAUGCACUUUUCGUUUAACAAGUCAACAUCAAUUUCUUUUGCUGUAAAAGGGUAAGAGGAAGGUGGCUUCAACUUCGGUUGAAGUGUUUAUAGCCUUUUACCUCUGCAGUCGGAGAGAUUGAGGUCUGCAGCGUAGACUCUUCGGGGUUAGAUACAUUUGUGCUAAGUUAUAGCUUUUCAUAGACAACUUGUUGACUAUGUUUAGUCUUGUAGCUUACUCGCUUAUGCUAUUUUACCUACGCUUAGGAUGUUGAGUAGCGACAUACGCAC
rnacentral:rRNA from 1 species